GUACACUCCUGCGGGAGGCAGCAGUGGGGAAUAUCGCACAAUGGGCGCAAGCCUGAUGCAGCCAUGCCGCGUGUAUGAAGAAGGCCUUCGGGUUGUAAAGUACUUUCAGCGGGGAGGAAGGCGAUAAGGUUAAUAACCUUGUCGAUUGACGUUACCCGCAGAAGAAGCACCGGCUAACUCCGUGCCAGCAGCCGCGGUAAUACGGAGGGUGCAAGCGUUAAUCGGAAUUACUGGGCGUAAAGCGCACGCAGGCGGUCUGUCAAGUCGGAUGUGAAAUCCCCGGGCUCAACCUGGGAACUGCAUUCGAAACUGGCAGGCUAGAGUCUUGUAGAGGGGGGUAGAAUUCCAGGUGUAGCGGUGAAAUGCGUAGAGAUCUGGAGGAAUACCGGUGGCGAAGGCGGCCCCCUGGACAAAGACUGACGCUCAGGUGCGAAAGCGUGGGGAGCAAACAGGAUUAGAAACCCCUGUAGUCCC
rnacentral:rRNA from 1 species